UUCGUAGGUGGCCAACUAAGUCAGACGUGAAAUCCCUCAGCUUAACUGGGGAACUGCGUCUGAUACUGGAUGGCUUGAGUGUAGGAGAGGAAUGCGGAAUUCCAGGUGUAGCGGUGAAAUGCGUAGAUAUCUGGAGGAACACCGGUGGCGAAGGCGGCAUUCUGGACUACAACUGGCACUGAGGAACGAAAGCCAGGGGAGCAAACG
rnacentral:rRNA from 1 species